GACGAACGCUGGCGGCGUGCCUAAUACAUGCAAGUAGAACGCUGAAGGAGGAGCUUGCUCUUCUGGAUGAGUUGCGAACGGGUGAGUAACGCGUAGGUAACCUGCCUGGUAGCGGGGGAUAACUAUUGGAAACGAUAGCUAAUACCGCAUAAGAGUAGAUGUUGCAUGACAUUUGCUUAAAAGGUGCAAUUGCAUCACUACCAGAUGGACCUGCGUUGUAUUAGCUAGUUGGUGGGGUAACGGCUCACCAAGGCGACGAUACAUAGCCGACCUGAGAGGGUGAUCGGCCACACUGGGACUGAGACACGGCCCAGACUCCUACGGGAGGCAGCAGUAGGGAAUCUUCGGCAAUGGACGGAAGUCUGACCGAGCAACGCCGCGUGAGUGAAGAAGGUUUUCGGAUCGUAAAGCUCUGAUGUAAGAGAAGAACGAGUGUGAGAGUGGAAAGUUCACACUGUGACGGUAUCUUACCAGAAAGGGACGGCUAACUACGUG
rnacentral:rRNA from 1 species